rnacentral:rRNA from 1 species
CGCUGAACUUAAGCAUAUCAAUAAGCGGAGGAAAAGAAACUAACAAGGAUUCCCCUAGUAACGGCGAGUGAAGCGGGAAGAGCUCAAGCUUAAAAUCUCCGUGCAAGUUUUGCGCGGCGAAUUGUAGUCUAUAGAGGCGUGGUCAGCGUGGGCGCUUGGGGCAAGUUCCUUGGAAGAGGACAGCAUGGAGGGUGAUACUCCCGUUCAUCCCUGAGUGGCUCGUGCGUACGACCCGUGUUCUUUGAGUCGCGUUGUUUGGGAAUGCAGCGCAAAGUAGGUGGUAAAUUCCAUCUAAAGCUAAAUAUUGGUGCGAGACCGAUAGCGAACAAGUACCGUGAGGGAAAGAUGAAAAGAACUUUGAAAAGAGAGUUAAAGAGUACCUGAAACUGCUGAAAGGGAACCGAAUCGUUUCCAGUGUCUAUAAUCCGUGGCAUAUUUCAUUGGCGAGUGUGCGCGUGCGUGUGCUGUGGCAGUGGCUUUUUUGGCUGCGCUCGGUGCGUGUGCUGUGUGUGCUUGCUGGUGCCCUGUGCUGCGGUGGGACGUCAAGGUCAGUUCGUAUGCUGCGGGAAAUGGCUGCCGAGGAGGUAGGGCUUACGCUCCGCGUUUGUCUGUUAUAUCUUGGUGGACGAGUCGUCGUGGUUGGGACUGAGGUGCCUACAACGUGCUUUUGAGUGGGUUCGUGUCUCCGUGUGCGCCGUGUGCGGAUAGCUUGCUAUGCGUGUGUGGUUGUGCGUGGAUUGGUGCGGGCUUUAACUUGUCGCCGUUCGGGACGUUGACGAAAUGGAGCGAUCCGACCCGUCUUGAAACACGGACCAAGGAGUCUAACAUGUGUGCAAGUGUUAGGGUGUGGAAACCCCAGCGCGAAAUGAAAGUGAAGGGCAGCGCAAGUUGUCUGAGGUAGGAAACGUUGCGGGCUUCGGUCUGCGGCGUGGCACUAUCGACCGAUCAUGAACCUUCGUGGUGAAAGAUUUGAGUUUGAGCACAUAUGUUGGUACCCGAAAGAUGGUGAACUAUGCCUGAGUAGGGUGAAGCCAGGGGAAACUCUGGUGGAAGCUCGUAGCGAUUCUGACGUGCAAAUCGAUCGUCAAACUUGGGUAUAGGGGCGAAAGACUAAUCGAACCAUCUAGUAGCUGGUUCCCUCCGAAAUUUCCCUCAGGAUAGCAGCAACUUAUUUACGAUAGUUUUAUGAGGUAAAGCGAAUGAUUAGAGGAUUCGGGGAAGAAACUUCCUCGACCUAUUCUCAAACUUUAAAUCUGUAAGACCUGCAGGUUUCUUAAUUGAACUUGUGGAUGUGAAUAUCAAGUUGCUAGUGGGCCAUACGGGGUAAGCUCGUCUGGCG